rnacentral:siRNA from 1 species
GGCACUGUACCUUCAGGACAUUUG